GUGGAGACGAAAGCCAGCACACCCUGCGGCUCUCCAGGACCAGGGUUGCCGACCCCUGGCCUUGGGGGACCCAUGAUUCUGUGAUUUUGCUGAUUUUGCUGGUUGGGAAUAAACUGGCACAUUUUGGGGAUAGGAGUUUCCCUCUGAAGCUGUGUGAUGACACCAUUAACACAUUAACACUCCUUAAGACUCCAGCGGAAUGUUGAAGGGCCAAUGGUUGUGUCCUGCACAACAUGGCCCUGAAACAUGGGGUUCCCAUAACCGAGGAACCCAGAGGCCUACAUGACCGAAUUCCCAUUCAACUGCCCAUCGAUCAGCCAAAUAUGGAGGCAACUCGUCUGCGUCAGCUCCUUAUCCACUGCCUCUAAAAGAAAUCUCCUCCACUGCCUUCUGAAUGGCCUCCUGCUUCUCCAAUACUGUGGUGGUGAGGACCCUGGGCAGCUGGGACCUUCCACUGACAGAGCCCUGGCAGUCUCGGCAGAGGCUGCUGAAGUGCCUUCUCCUAUGAAAAAAAUACAGUCAAUGGCGCAGAUGGAUGGAGGAGGAGCUGGAUGCAACCUGAUUGGGCUGCAGGUACCACCUCAUGCUACCAGUAGUGACAAGGACACUAGCAGAACACAAAAGUAGAGAAGAAUCAGUCAGGAAGGAUAAGGAGAGAGCAAUUGUCUGUGGCCAUUACCUUUUUUGCGGUUGUCUUGCUUUUGCAUCUCCAUUGCACCUGGACAGUUUGAUAUCCCCGAAGUUUAACUGACUUGGUGUUACACUGU